CCUACGGGUGGCAGCAGUGGGGAAUAUUGCACAAUGGGGGAAACCCUGAUGCAGCAACGCCGCGUGAGUGAGGAAGUAUUUCGGUAUGUAAAGCUCUAUCAGCAGGGAAUAGAAAAGAAGGUACCUGAAAAAGAAGCCCCGGCUAACUACGUGCCAGCAGCCGCGGUAAUACGUAGGGGGCAAGCGUUAUCCGGAUUUACUGGGUGUAAAGGGAGCGUAGACGGAAAGGCAAGUCAGGUGUGAAAACUCCGGGCUCAACCUGGAGACUGCACUUGAAACUGGGUGUCUUGAGGGCAGGAGAGGAUAGUGGAAUUCCUAGUGUAGCGGUGAAAUGCGUAGAUAUUAGGAGGAACACCAGUGGCGAAGGCGACUUUCUGGACUGUACCUGACGCUGAGGCGCGAAAGCGUGGGUAGCGAACGGGAUUAGAUACCCUUGUAGUC
rnacentral:rRNA from 1 species